UGGGAGGCUGAUACACAAAUGGGGCUGAAGUACUGCUCCGAUUGUCACCAUCCCUCCCUAGAAUAAACUGCCUUUCGAUGACCGGGACGAAUUGAGGGAAAUCGUAACGGACAGAUACGGGGCAGACAGUU
ensembl:scaRNA small Cajal body-specific RNA 8